UGGGGAAUACUGCGCAAUGGGGGAAACCCUGACGCAGCGACGCCGUAUGAGGGAAGAAGGCUUUCGGGUCGUAAACCUCUGUCAGAAAGGAAGAACCUCCCAAGUCCGAAUAGGGCUUGGGACUGACGGUACUUUCAAAGGAAGCACCGGCUAACUCCGUGCCAGCAGCCGCGGUAAUACGGAGGGUGCAAGCGUUAAUCGGAAUCACUGGGCGUAAAGCGCGCGUAGGCCGCUUUGUAAGUCGGACGUGAAAGCCCUCGGCUCAACCGGGGAACUGCGUUCAAUACUGCGAGGCUUGAGUCCUGGAGAGGGUGGCGGAAUUCCGGGUGUAGGAGUGAAAUCCGUAGAUAUCCGGAGGAACACCGGUGGCGAAGGCGGCCACCUGGACAGGUACUGACGCUGAGGCGCGAAAGCGUGGGGAGCAAACAG
rnacentral:rRNA from 1 species